ensembl:lncRNA novel transcript
AGGAUCGCGCAUUAGCGGACGCUGGCUACGGGUGGCCGGGCGGGAUGUAACCGGCUGCUGAGCUGGCAGUUCUGUGUCCCCAGGCUUCGGCCCGGCCGCCGCCGCACAUAAACUGCGAGGAGGAGCUUUACGACUUCUCGGUCUUCGGGGCCGGGCGCAGCAAGGGCCAGACUCUGCGCUAGCAGGCGCUGCGCGCCAACCGGCCGGCCCCUGUCGCAGAAGGUGCAACCGAUCGCACUGUCGCGCAGAAGCUCCUCAAUGGCCAGCGCCAGCUGCAGCCCCGGCUGCCCACUCGCCUCACCUGAGCCUGGGUGGAACAAUCCAAAGUUUUAAUCAAAGAAGGUGGUAUUCAGUUGCUGCUUACAAUAGUUGAUACCCCAGGAUUUGGAGAUGCAGUGGAUAAUAGUAAUUGCUGGCAGCCUGUUAUCAAUUACAUUGAUAGUAAAUUUGAGGACUACCUAAAUGCAGAAUCGCAAGUGAACAGAUGUCAGAUGCCUGGUAACAGGGUGCACUGUUGUUUAUACUUCAUUGCUCCUUCAGGACAUGGACCGUUACAUAACUGAAGACUCCCACCUUCAGGCAGGAUUGGGUAGUACAUGUUUGUAACUACCUGGCAUUGCCUUUUGUUGAGAUAAAGAAAUCCAAGAACAUAAAGUUAAAAUAUAUGAAUUUCCAGAAACAGAUGAUGAAGAAGAAAAAAAACUUGUUAAAAAGAUAAAGGACCAUUUACCUCUUGCUGUGGUGGGUAGUAAUACUAUCAUUGAAGUUAAUGGCAAAAGGGUCAUAGGAAGGCAGUAUCCUUGGAGUGUUGCUGAAGUUGAAAAUGGUGAACAUUGUGAUUUUACAGUUUUAAGAAAUAUGUUGAUAAGAACACACGCAGGACUUGAAAGAUGUUACUAAUAAUGUCCACUACGAGAACUAUGGAAUCAGAAAACUGGCAGCUGUGACUUAUCAUGGAGUUGAUAACAAGAAGAAUAAAGGGCAGCUCACUAAGAGCCCUCUGGCACAAAUGGAAGAAGAAAGAAGGGAGCAAGUAGCUAAAAUUAAGAAGAUGGAGAUGGAGAUGGAGCAGGUGUUUGAGAUGAAGGUCAAAGAAAAAGUUCAAAAACUGAAGGACUCUGAAGCUGAGGUAAUCAGUCCAAUAUUCCAUCUCUUAGCAGACAUUGUGUUCCUUUUUAAAUAGUAUCUUCAGUAAAAUUUAUAGAUAAUAUAACCUUCUUAUACAUAUUUUUUAAAAAUUAAUACCCUAGCAUAACAAAAUGGAGAAAUUUCUACAAGCAAGCACUGUUUACAAUAAAAUAAUAUAGACUUCAAUACAUAAGUGCUUGGACAUAGUGUAUUAGGUAUGACAGCAUAAUAGAGUACUUACAAUGAAUUAUUAAAGUUAUAAUGAACAAGUGUGAGUUGGGAAAAAUAAAAUUAUAAGCCAUUCCAUACAGGUGGCAUAAGAACACUAAAAAUGAGAGUUUGGGGUGGAUGU